rnacentral:rRNA from 1 species
CGAAAGGAACGCUAAUACCGCAUACGUCCUACGGGAGAAAGCAGGGACCUUCGGGCCUUGCGCUAUCAGAUGAGCCUAGGUCGGAUUAGCUAGUUGGUGAGGUAAUGGCUCACCAAGGCGACGAUCCGUAACUGGUCUGAGAGGAUGAUCAGUCACACUGGAACUGAGACACGGUCCAGACUCCUACGGGAGGCAGCAGGA